GAAUGUGAGGGCCAUCUGGCUGGGGCAUCUGUCACCCAUUGAUCACCAGGGUUGAUUUGGCUGAUGUGGCUGGCUAGGCAGAUGUCCCCUUCCUCCUUCACCGUUCCACAUGAGUCCCUCCCACAGCUGCACGCUCAAAGAGGACAACCUUCCCUGAGAGAGGACCAUUCCUCAGUCAAGGAUAUAGGAGUACCUUGCUCCCCUGCUAGAAUCUCCAAACCAGGUGUAUGUAUAUGUAAAUUAACAUAUUUUAUUUACAUAUAAUAUACCUAUGUACUAACACAAUGGAAAAU
rnacentral:snRNA from 1 species